UCCCCUUCCUCCUGAGUUUUCUCCCUUUUUAAGACCCAACACUUCUUCCAUCAACUCUUCCUUCUGGGCUCUGAAGAAUUGCUCCGGGGCCUAGCAGGCAACUCAGAACUGUAGACAAGCCUUGGGACUGAGUGCUUGUGGUACGGCCUGGCUGUUUCUAGCUUGGCCCUUCCUGGAAUGAGAGCCUUUUGCUCACCUGCAGGAGAGUGUGUGUGUGUGUGCACGCGUGCACGCAUGUGUGUGUGUGUGUGUGUGUGUGUGUGUAAUUGCAGCAUCACAC
rnacentral:misc_RNA from 1 species